UGUGUGCCACUUUUAUCAUAGUCAGCGAUAAAAACAAGUUUUUUACAGCAAAAUAGCAACAACUAACGAGAAUAACCGCUUUAAACGCUGACUGCAGCUCCGGUGACAACUAUUAUGAGCAAACGUAUCCAAGUUUCUGGCCGGGCAGAGGCACCACACACACACACACACACACACUCUGAGAGAGGUACAAACGUUGUGUGUGUGUGUGUGUGUGCAUGUAAUCUGAGCAACCUUUUAUAAAAAUUCUUAAGCUGGCGUCAGCGUUUUAUCGCCGCCAAGUAAAUUGUGGCAAAAAUAUUAUUAGUAAUAAAUAUUUGUUCAAUGGCGGCGACCAGUGUUCUAAAAGUUGUUGUUGCUAUUACAGAGCGUGCCCGCCGGGUCGGCAUAUCUUGUUCAUGAAUCAAAGCGAGGCGAAGGCGCGCGCACGCACACACAGAGGGAAGGCGUAGUAGAUAUAAUAAGCAAACAGGGGAGCCACCAGUUCCCGAGCAUCUUAUCAGCCCGGGCACAUGUGAAAACUGGACUUGAACUUGGCUGCGGCUGCUCUUGCUGGUUGUCUACGCUGCAAAGCGUUUCGAAUCGCAUCGAACUGUAACUGUUUAUAACGAACAAAAUGCAUUUUUCAAACGUAAACCAACACACACACACACACACACAUGCACAGACGCACGCACGAACAGGCACUCGACACAAGCACACACUAACACACAUAUGUAUGUAUUAAGCGCGACACGGUUAUUCGAAUAAACACACGUUGGAAUAGACACUGAAAUAUAUCCACCGAUUUACGUACUUUGUGCACAUGCAGCGCUUUUUAGUUUAUGAAAUUGUAAUUUAAAGCUCAAUUGUGCUUCACAUGUUCAGUUUUGUUGAAACGCACGUACUGCUAUCUAUCCGCUUUAUGGAGUGCAGAGCGACAAACAACACACA